GCGGGUGUAGCUCAGUGGUAGAGCAUCACGUUGCCAACGUGAAUGUCGUGGGUUCGAGCCCCAUCACCCGCUCCA
rnacentral:tRNA from 6 species